AUUGAACGCUGGCGGCAGGCUUAACACAUGCAAGUCGAGCGGAGAUGAGGUGCUUGCACCUUAUCUUAGCGGCGGACGGGUGAGUAAUGCUUAGGAAUCUGCCUAUUAGUGGGGGACAACAUUCCGAAAGGAAUGCUAAUACCGCAUACGUCCUACGGGAGAAAGCAGGGGAUCUUCGGACCUUGCGCUAAUAGAUGAGCCUAAGUCGGAUUAGCUAGUUGGUGGGGUAAAGGCCUACCAAGGCGACGAUCUGUAGCGGGUCUGAGAGGAUGAUCAGUCACACUGGGACUGGGCUGCGGCCCAGACUCCUCCUGGAGGCAGCAGUGGGGAAUAUUGGACAAUGGGGGAAACCCUGCUCCAGCCAUGCCUGGUGUGUGAAGAAGGCCUUAUGGUUGUAAAGCACUUUAAGCGAGGAUGAGGCUACUGAGACUAAUACUCUUGGAUAGUGGACGUUACUCGCAGAAUAAGCACCGGCUAACUCUGUGCCAGCCGCCGCAGUAA
rnacentral:rRNA from 1 species